GAAUGCACAGCAGGGGACCCUCCUCCUUCUCCCUUUUAGGUCCUCACCCCCUCCUUCRCCUUCUGUGGUAGGGCAUGCUCUCUCCUCCACCAUCAGCAUGCUGCCUGCUCCCACGCUGUUCUGCCUCCUUCUCCCUGCAACUGUCCAUCCCUGUCCCAGCAGCAAAGAGGUCUGUCACUUCUGUCGCCGCUGAGCUGCUGCUGUGGCCAGGUUGGUGACGCUCAUCUGAAGAGCAGUGACAGCUUUGCUAUCUUCCUGGCAGAGAGUUUUCCCCCAAGCUGCUUCUGAACCUGGUGCCUUGUGCUGUGGGACCGUGCUGAGCUCCCAGAGGGUGGUGCAGAAUCCUGUUUGUAGUUGUCCCUGACCUCCCUGGCUUCCUCUGCACUGUGUUUUGUGGGGGCUCAAAGCCACAAUCAGCAGUUGUUUGUUCUCUACCUGCUGAAAAACUCUCAGAUUUGGGGCAGUCUGAGCUUCAGAGCACACAUGCAAGUGUCCUUCUCUUCUGGCUUUUGACUCUGCCAUGUGAAAUUGAAACUGAGAUCUAGAAAACCAUUGAGAGGUGGACUUCUCUGCACAGUUGAAUCCUGGAGCCCCUUCUUCAGCUGCUAGGUGUUCUGAAAAGAGGUCGAAAGGCAUUUUGUUGUUAAACAAGUUACCUGCUGCCUCCUGGGUCCCCAAAGACUGUCUCUUGAAUCUGUGUGGCUUGCAACCAGGACUCAGUACCAGGUACCUGCAGUUCUUCCUUCAGAUGCUGAUCCUACAAGCUGUAGGAAUCCUGCAAGCUGCAGGGAUCCCUUUUGACUUCACUGAGUUCCAUGGGUGGUUUUGCAUUCAAUUCCAAGCUGUGUGGACCAACUUGCAGCUGCAAUAUCUCUUUUCAGAAGAACUUCCUUGACAGGAGAGAAGGUCUUUGCCUUCACCAUGUCAAGGAAUCUUAAUGAUGUAUUCCUUCUCCAUUGCAUUCCCCACCUGUCAUCU
rnacentral:lncRNA from 1 species